GACGAACGCUGGCGGCGUGCUUAACACAUGCAAGUCGAACGGUAAGGCCCUUCGGGGUACACGAGUGGCGAACGGGUGAGUAACACGUGGGUGAUCUGCCCUGCACUUCGGGAUAAGCCUGGGAAACUGGGUCUAAUACCGGAUAGGACUCCUGGCUUCAUGGUUGGGGGUGGAAAGCUUUUGCGGUGUGGGAUGGGCCCGCGGCCUAUCAGCGUGUUGGUGGGGUAAUGGCCUACCAAGGCGACGACUGGUAGCCGGCCUGAGAGGGUGACCGGGCGCACUGGGACUGGGAUACGGCCCUGGCUCCGACGGGAGGCAGCAGUGGGGAAUAUUGCACAAUGGGCGCAAGCCUGAUGCAGCGACGCCGCGUGAGGGAUGACGGCCUUCGGGUUGUAAACCUCUUUCAGCUAUGACGAAGCGCAAGUGACGGUAGUAGCAGAAGAAGGACCGGCCAACUACGUGCCAGCCGCCGCCGUAA
rnacentral:rRNA from 1 species